UACAGAGGGUGCGAGCGUUGUUCGGAAUUACUGGGCGUAAAGCGUGCGUAGGUGGUUCGUUAAGUCUGAUGUGAAAGCCCUGGGCUCAACCUGGGAAUGGCAUUGGAUACUGGCGAUCUAGAGUGCGGUAGAGGGCAGUGGAAUUCCCGGUGUAGCAGUGAAAUGCGUAGAGAUCGGGAGGAACAUCUGUGGCGAAGGCGACUGCCUGGACCAGCACUGACACUGAGGCACGAAAGCGUGGGGAGCAAACAGG
rnacentral:rRNA from 1 species